UCUCCGUUGGUAAACCAGCGGAGGGAUCAUUACUGGAAUCGCAAGAUCCCACAACCCUGUGAACCUACCGAAACGUUGCCUCGGCGGGUGCCCGGCCUCUGCGCCGGGCGCUGCGCCCGCCGGCGGCCCCCUACUCUGUCUCUGCAGCGUGGCAUCUCAGAGUCCCAGAAAACAAGUCAAAACUUUCAACAACGGAUCUCUUGGCUCUA
rnacentral:misc_RNA from 1 species